ncrna:unclassified sequences Transposase-1 RNA
CGUUUAGAGAUUGCCUCUGUCGUUACCUGCGCUAUGUAUGUGACGGGAAUGCAAUUGUUGA